rnacentral:tRNA from 1 species
GCUCCAGUAGCACAACUGUUAGUGCACAGUACUUAUAAUGCUGGGGUUGUGAGUUCAAGUCUCACCUGGAGCA